rnacentral:rRNA from 1 species
AAUUUUGGACAAUGGGGGAAACCCUGAUCCAGCCAUCCCGCGUGUAUGAUGAGGGCCUUCGGGUUGUCAAGUACUUUUGGCAGAGAAGAAAAGGCAUCCCCUAAUACGGGAUGGUGCCGACGGUAGCUGCAGAAUAAGCACCGGCUCACCACGUGCCAGCAGCCGCGGUAAUACGUAUGGUGCAAGCGUUAAUCGGAAUUACUGGGCGUAAAGGGUAGGUAGGGGGUUGGGAAAGAAAGAUGUGAAUUCCCAGGGUUCAGCCUUGGAACUGCAUUUUUAACUGCCGAGCUAGAGUAUGUCAGAGGGGGGUAGAAUUCCAAGUGUAGCAGUGAAAUGCGUAGAUAUGUGGAGGAAUACCAAUGGCGAAGGCAGCCCCCUGGGAUAAUACUGACGCUCAGACACGAAAGCGUGGGGAGCAAACAGG